rnacentral:tRNA from 1 species
GGGGGAUUAGCUCAGCUGGCUAGAGCGCUACGCUGGCAGCGUAGAGGCCACCGGUUCGAAUCCGGUAUCCUCCACCA